rnacentral:rRNA from 1 species
AUUGAACGCUGGCGGCAGGCUUAACACAUGCAAGUCGAGCGGAGUGAUGGUGCUUGCACUAUCACUUAGCGGCGGACGGGUGAGUAAUGCUUAGGAAUCUGCCUAUUAGUGGGGGACAACAUCUCGAAAGGGAUGCUAAUACCGCAUACGUCCUACGGGAGAAAGCAGGGGAUCACUUGUGACCUUGCGCUAAUAGAUGAGCCUAAGUCGGAUUAGCUAGUUGGUGGGGUAAAGGCCUACCAAGGCGACGAUCUGUAGCGGGUCUGAGAGGAUGAACCGCCACACUGGGACUGAGACACGGCCCAGACUCCUACGGGAGGCAGCAGUGGGGAAUAUUGGACAAUGGGGGGAACCCUGAUCCAGCCAUGCCGCGUGUGUGAAGAAGGCCUUAUGGUUGUAAAGCACUUUAAGCGAGGAGGAGGCUCUUUUGGUUAAUCCCCAGAAUGAGUGGACGUUACUCGCAGAAUAAGCACCGGCUAACUCUGUGCCAGCAGCCGCCGUAAGAC